rnacentral:lncRNA from 1 species
UUACUUCCUAGUUUGAAUGUAUACAGUAGUAAAAGCAUCAUUGGCCAUCCCUCUGCUAAUCGUGAACUUUAAACUCCUAUUUCAAAGUUAAGGAUUAGGUGACCAUCCAAAUUCAACGAGUCACCUUACACGAUGAAAUUUGGUUCAGCUACUGGUAAGUACAAUUAGUUAUAUGUUUAGUUUACGAUGUAACAUGUUAUAUAAAUACUUUUUAAUAAUUAUCUUUUUGUAUUACAUAACUAUAUAGACAGCUCGGAAGGGCAUAUACGUAUAUUCCCACAGAAACAUCCAUUUGUUUAUCAUCC